rnacentral:rRNA from 1 species
AGUGAACGCUGGCGGUAGGCCUAACACAUGCAAGUCGAACGGCAGCACAGUAAGAGCUUGCUCUUACGGGUGGCGAGUGGCGGACGAGUGAGGAAUACAUCGGAAUCUACUUUUUCGUGGGGGAUAACGUAGGGAAACUUACGCUAAUACCGCAUACGACCUACGGGUGAAAGCAGGGGAUCUUCGGACCUUGCGCGAUUGAAUGAGCCGAUGUCGGAUUAGCUAGUUGGCGGGGUAAAGGCCCACCAAGGCGACGAUCCGUAGCUGGUCUGAGAGGAUGAUCAGCCACACUAGAACUGAGACACGGUCCAGACUCCUACGGGAGGCAGCAGUGGGGAAUAUUGGACAAUGGGCGCAAGCCUGAUCCAGCCAUACCGCGUGGGUGAAGAAGGCCUUCGGGUUGUAAAGCCCUUUUGUUGGGAAAGAAAAGCAGCAGGUUAAUACCCCGCUGUUCUGACGGUACCCAAAGAAUAAGCACCGGCUAACUUCGUG